rnacentral:rRNA from 1 species
AAAGGAAUAGACGGGGGCCCGCACAAGCAGUGGAGUAUGUGGUUUAAUUCGAAGCAACGCGAAGAACCUUACCAGGGCUUGACAUACCGCUGACAGGUACAGAGAUGUACCCUUCUUCGGACAGCGGAUACAGGUGGUGCAUGGUUGUCGUCAGCUCGUGUCGUGAGAUGUUGGGUUAAGUCCCGCAACGAGCGCAACCCCUAUUGUCAGUUGCUAACAUGUAAGGUGAGCACUCUGGCAAGACUGCCGGCGACAAGUCGGAGGAAGGUGGGGACGACGUCAAAUCAUCAUGCCCCUUAUGUCCUGGGCUACACACGUACUACAAUGGUGGUCAACAGAGGGAAGCGAAGCCGCGAGGCGGAGCAAAUCCCCAAAAGCCAUCUCAGUUCGGAUUGCAGGCUGAAACUCGCCUGCAUGAAGUCGGAAUUGCUAGUAAUCGCGAAUCAGCAUGUCGCGGUGAAUACGUUCCCGGGCCUUGUACACACCGCCCGU